UAUUAUUUUACUGCAAAAAGAAAGAAAACCAGCCCAAAGAGUGUCCAGUGAACAGAGAGUUUGGGGAAGUUCCAGAGGGGGACAGGGAGUACGAGGAGGUGCCGGAGCGACAGGUCCAGAGCACAUCUGACUGGGGUUCUGACAUUUACAGUUUGGCCUCAGCUCCAGCUCACACACAGGUGGACUCAGUGCUGUACUCUGAGGUGACACACUUCAGCAGAAACAGCGCCCUCCACAGUCGGGCUGAGGCAGUGGUCUACUCUGCAGCACAAACUCAAGACACUCCACUGUACUCCACCAUUUCUGCUCUGCAAUAAUAGUGAAAGGUCCCACAUUAUGCUCUAUAUCCACAUUAUAUCUUUACAUUCAUUCUUAUGUAUUUAAUAAUGU
ensembl:lncRNA